rnacentral:rRNA from 1 species
AGCGAACGCUGGCAGCAUGCCUAACACAUGCAAGUCGCACGGGGGGGCUUCGGCCUCCCAGUGGCGGACGGGUGAGGAACGCGUAGGGACCUGUCGAGGGGUGGGGGAUAACCGCGGGAAACUGCGGCUAAUACCGCAUGACGCCGCGGCGUGACAGCCGGGGCCAAAGGCGAAAGCCGCCCGCCGAGGGGCCUGCGUCCGAUUAGCUGGUUGGCGGGGUAGCGGCCCACCAAGGCGUCGAUCGGUAGCUGGUCUGAGAGGGUGAUCAGCCACACCGGGACUGAGACACGGCCCGGACUCCUACGGGAGGCAGCAGUGGGGAAUAUUGGACAAUGGGCGCAAGCCUGAUCCAGCAAUGCCGCGUGGGUGAAGAAGGUCUUCGGAUUGUAAAGCCCUUUCGGCGGGGACGAUGGUGACGGUACCCGCAGAAGAAGCCCCGGCUAACUUCGUG